rnacentral:lncRNA from 1 species
AAGCAUGAAGUGAAGAGGAAAGGAAAGAACACAAACCCUAGGUGGGAAAAUUGAAGAAAAAGCGUGAGAUUUCAAGGGAUUAAGCUAAUAAAGGUAAAAUUUUGUGAUUUUAUCUUGUGAUUUACACUACCCAUGCUUUCUUUUUCAUUUUUCAUGCUUAGAACUCAAGUUUGCAUGAUGAACCCAUGCUGGCCGAAUUUGAGAGGAGAGGUUUUGAGCAUUGAUUUUGCUAGAUUUCAAGCUAAUUAAGUGUUUUUGGUUGUUUGGUAAUGGAAAGUAUGAAAAUCUAGCAAGGAAUCACUUUGUUCUUCACAAACCCACAAGAGGCCGAAUUUUCUAGGGAGGAUAUUGAGGCUGAAAUUGAUGAUAUUUCAUGAUAUUUUGGUGGUAUUUAAUGAUUGGUGAGGCUAGAAAUUUAAUGGGAAAUUUUGGCAUGAAAAUCUGAAUUUUUACCUAAUGUAUAGACAUGUGCGAUUUAUGGUUCAGACUGAUAAAUUGAAUCAUAUUCACAGUCAUUGAGGUAUUUUAAGUAUAAUUGGAGUGUAGAAAGUGAAAGAAAUCGAUUUGGAGUUAAAUUGGAGGUUUUAGCCAAUUACACCUCGAAUAGUGCGAAUUAGGUCAAUACCGUAUUUAAACGGCUAUUUAAACAUUUUGCAGCACAUUUCGUGCAUACAUAUAGAUUUAUAGAGCCUGAAAUAGUUUAUGAUAAAUUGACAUAAUUUAUUAAAAUUAGUGUCAUGUAUGAUGUAUAGGUGGUGAGCCCUCUAACAAGGGUAAAGAGAUUGUGUCUAAAGACCGGGAAUAGGAGUAUAUCGAACUCCUAGUACUGUGAGUAACCUUACUAUCGUCGUAAUUAUCUAGAGUGAUUUUUAUCCGAUUUUGUGAUUUUAUGAAAAAUGAGUUUAAAUGGUAAAUUUUUAGGUUUUAUAAACAAAAUGUGUUUAAAUACAAAUGAUUUCAUAAAUGGUCUUGAAAUUGAAUGAAGGCUUUGAAAAUAAAGUAAUUGGAGACCAUUUGAUGUAUUGUGAAUUUAUGGUUCUAAUUGAUUGGCUUAUGACAAUGUUGGCCUGAAUGGCUGAAUUGGUAUUUGUGUUGAAAUGUAUAAACUGUUGUUUGCCUUGAUAAGCUGGAUAAUGAUAAAAUUCCCAUAUCAUGCUGUUGAAUUUUUAUUGUAUGAUGGGUUUAGCUUGCUGCAGUGGACUGGUUCUGUGGACCAACCUAUUAGAGGGGCACGGAACCUGGUCAUAUAUAUGUACCUCGAUUGGAAAGGUGCGUUGGGUAACUCCCGAGGUCAAACUUUAGAGUUCAUUUCACGCCCAACCACCACGUGAGGGGAACUCUGCCAACGCCAAGGAACGACUAUGUUUUCAAAAUAAAAACAUGAUUUAUACGUACAUAACUUUUUAACAGCCUUGGCGAAUUCGGUUGGGAUAGCCCUCGAUCAAGGCAUCCUUGAUAACUGGGUAUGAGAAUGAUUUUGGCACGAGCCAAAGUUUUAAGAAAUUCAUAAGCCAUGUUAAUUACUCGAUUUAUAUGAAUUGAUUUUAUUUGGUUGAAACAAGUUGAAAGGUGAUGAAUUUCAGUAUGUUAAACUGUUUUAUCUGUCUCCAUUUACUCGACUUUAGAUGGUUUAGAUGGUAUCUAUUUACUCACUGAGAUUUUAUAAUCUCACCACCCUCAUUUUCAACCAUUUCAAGCUCGAGGUAGUCUGUGGAUAGCAGAUAUCGUCAAGGAUUAUAGUCGGCUUUACUACUCCAAAAACUGUAAGUUUACAGUCUUUGUGCACUUUUGUUCCUUGUGGGCCCACGAGUCACUGGAAAGUAAAUUUCAUAUCCCGAUUAUCGGUAUUAUAGUACGUAUGAAUUUAUUUAGCUUUUACAUUACAAAAAUUAUUUACCGAUGACUCUAUAAAUAUUAUUUUACAAGAAAUUAGAAUAUUUUAUUGAAUAUUUUUAUUUUAUUCAAAUAGUUGCAAUAUCAUUUUUAAUAAAUGUUUUAGACACCCAAAUUUAUUUUAAAUCAUAAAAUAUGUGUUUUUCACUCAUCUACUACAUUUUUUG